GGGGGCGCCCUGGUUUCGACGGGAAACAGGACGGUCCGCAGGGUGCGUGUCGAGUUUCCGCUCGCCAAACGGAACCCUAUAACUGCCAACGAUAACUUGGCUCUGGCUGCGUAAAGCAGUCACGUCCCGGCAAAAGCGCUGAUCCGCCGCGCUUGUCGAGGGCGACGCAAAAGUGGAUCGAAGGGCUCGUG
rnacentral:tmRNA from 1 species